rnacentral:rRNA from 1 species
AGAGUUUGAUCAUGGCUCAGAUUGAACGCUGGCGGCAUGCCUUACACAUGCAAGUCGAACGGCAGCAUGAUCUAGCUUGCUAGAUUGAUGGCGAGUGGCGAACGGGUGAGUAAUACAUCGGAACGUGCCCUGUAGUGGGGGAUAACUAGUCGAAAGAUUAGCUAAUACCGCAUACGACCUGAGGGUGAAAGUGGGGGACCGCAAGGCCUCAUGCUAUAGGAGCGGCCGAUGUCUGAUUAGCUAGUUGGUGAGGUAAAGGCUCACCAAGGCGACGAUCAGUAGCUGGUCUGAGAGGACGAUCAGCCACACUGGGACUGAGACACGGCCCAGACUCCUACGGGAGGCAGCAGUGGGGAAUUUUGGACAAUGGGGGCAACCCUGAUCCAGCAAUGCCGCGUGUGUGAAGAAGGCCUUCGGGUUGUAAAGCACUUUUGUCCGGAAAGAAAUCGCACUUACUAAUAUUAGGUGUGGAUGACGGUACCGGAAGAAUAAGGACCGGCUAACUACGUGCCAGCAGCCGCGGUAAUACGUAGGGUCCAAGCGUUAAUCGGAAUUACUGGGCGUAAAGCGUGCGCAGGCGGUUGUGCAAGACCGAUGUGAAAUCCCCGGGCUUAACCUGGGAAUUGCAUUGGUGACUGCACGGCUAGAGUGUGUCAGAGGGGGGUAGAAUUCCACGUGUAGCAGUGAAAUGCGUAGAGAUGUGGAGGAAUACCGAUGGCGAAGGCAGCCCCCUGGGAUAACACUGACGCUCAUGCACGAAAGCGUGGGGAGCAAACAGGAUUAGAUACCCCAGUAGUCC